rnacentral:rRNA from 1 species
CCUACGGGAGGCAGCAGUGAGGAAUAUUGGUCAAUGGACGAGAGUCUGAACCAGCCAAGUAGCGUGAAGGAUGACUGCCCUAUGGGUUGUAAACUUCUUUUAUAUGGGAAUAAAAUGUUCCACGUGUGGGAUUUUGUAUGUACCAUAUGAAUAAGGAUCGGCUAACUCCGUGCCAGCAGCCGCGGUAAUACGGAGGAUCCGAGCGUUAUCCGGAUUUAUUGGGUUUAAAGGGAGCGUAGGUGGAUUGUUAAGUCAGUUGUGAAAGUUUGCGGCUCAAACGUAAAAUUGCAGUUGAAACUGGCAGUCUUGAGUACAGUAGAGGUGGGCGGAAGUCGUGGUGUAGCGGUGAAAUGCUUAGAUAUCACGAAGAACUCCGAUUGCGAAGGCAGUUCACUGGACUGCAACUGACACUGAGGCUCGAAAGUGUGGGUAUCAAACAGGAUUAGAUACCCUUGUAGUC